rnacentral:rRNA from 1 species
AGGGCAACCCUCCACACUGGAACUGAGACAAGGACCAGACUUCUACGGAAGGCAGCAGUGAGGAAUAUUGGUCAAUGGAGGAAACUCUGAACCAGCUAUGCCGCGUGUAGGAUGACAGUCUUUUAGAUUGUAAACUACUUUUACAUAGAAAUAAAAGUUACUACGGGAUGGUAACCUGAAGGUACUAUGCGAAUAAGUGUCGGCUAAUUUCGUGCCAGCAGCCGCGGUAAAACGAAAGACACAAGCGUUAUCCGGAUUUAUUGGGUUUAAAGGGUGUGUAGGUUGUUUAUUAAGUCNGUAGUGAAAGCUUACAGCUUAACUGUAAAAUUGCUAUUGAUACUGAUAAACUUGAGUCAGAUUGGAGCGUCUGGAAUGUAUGGUGUAGCGGUGAAAUGCAUAGAUAUCAUACAGAACACCAAUAGCGAAGGCAGGAUGCUAAAUCUUCACUGACACUGAGGCACGAAAGCGUGGGUAGCAAACAGGAUUAGAUACCCUGGUAGUCCACGCCCUAAACUAUGAUCACUAGCUAUUGGAAAAAUUAUAUUCAGUGGCCAAGCUAAAGCGAUAAGUGAUCCACCUGGGAAGUACGAUCGCAAGAUUGAAACUCAAAGGAAUUGACGGGGUUUCGCACAAGCGGUGGAGCAUGUGGUUUAAUUCGAUGAUACGCGAGGAACCUUACCAAGGUUUAAAUGUAUUACGAAUAAGCUGGAAACAACUUAGUCUAUAAGACGUAAUACAAGGUGCUGCAUGGUUGUCUUCAGUUCGUGCUGUGAAGUGUUUGGUUAAGUCCUAUAACGAGCGCAACCCUUAUUGUUAGUUGCCAUCGGGUAAAGCCGGGGACUCUAACAAAACGGCCGGUGUAAAUCGAGAGGAAGGUGGGGAUAAUGUCAAAUCAUCAUGGCCUUUAUGCCUUGGGCUACACACGUGCUACAAUG